CUGGAAUCCGGGAGAUGGAUGUUGCAGUGAGCUGAGAUUGCACCACUACACUCCAGCCUGGGAGACAAAGCAAGAUUCUGUCUCAAAACAAAACAAAACAAAACAAACAAACAAACAGAAAAAGAGGGACUCAGAGAGCCAGGGACCAGGGAAGGACAUGAGGAAGUGUUCUCAGGACAGAGAGAUGCAAGAAUGGGGAGGAGAAGGAGCACCACAUGGGGCUCAGCAGAGGAGAAAGACAGAAAGAUGGCUUGGAGAAACCAACAGUCUGUGAGGCUGGGGAGGAUGGAGAGUAGUUUGGGGUUUUGGGUCGGGGUCUAAGGUGGUCAGUUGCAGAAGCAUUACACCGUGGCCUGGUUUCUUUACUCAGCCCCUGGGGUAGAUCCCAGCCCCUGGGGUAGGUCCCUUUGCUGGAAAAGGAAGAGGGAGUGGUCGGACGAAUCUGAGGAGGAGUCAGAGGAGGAGCCAGAGAAGGAGCUCGCCUCUGAGCCUGAGGAGACCUGGGUGGCGGAGACACUGUGUGGGCUCAAGAAGAAGCUGAAGUGACAGCGAGUGUCACCCGUGCUCCCUGAGCACCUGAGGCCUUCAACAGGCUGCUUGGUAGGAGGACACCCCAGAGAGCACCUCCAAUCCCGUUCUUUCUAAAAAGAGGAAACUUCCAAUAACCACACUUUUCCAAUGGGAAAAAUAUGCCCCCAGUGGGUGAGCUCUCCAUGCGGGAGGACUCAGAAGUGAUCACUCAUGAGGGACGUUUAGGAGACGAUAGAGGAUUAGGAUUAGGUCAGCGCUUGGGAUGAGAAAGCUUGGUUUUGAGCUGAGUGCGGGGGCUCACGCCUGAGAUCCCAGCACACUGGGAGUACAGGCACAUGCCAUCACGCUUGAAUAAUUUUUAUACAAACAGGGUCUUGCUAUGUUGCCCCGGUUGUUCUCAAACUGUUGGGCUCACGUGAUCCUCCUGUCUCCACCUCUCAAACUAGUGGGAUCACAGGCUUCAGCCGCCACUCCCGGCUAUUCUUGGUCUUCUUUAUGAUUUGCCAGCGUCUCCCUCAGGACUCUGCUGGUCUCUUGCCGAGUGAAUGAGUGGCCCCUGCCUCUCCUACAGGUCGUUUGGGAUCUGAGCCAUGGGCCACAGUCUGGCCGCAGCUCUGAAGCUCCUGGCCCCUCUACUCUCAGCUCUUUGGGACAGUUCUCUGCCUGGCACACAAAAGACCCUCCUGACACCAGCUGACCUAGACUCACACUUUCAAAGAUCCCAUCAGAGCCCACCAUCCUGGGAGCAUCACCGACAUCCCUUCCUCCGGCUUCUCGAAUUUGCAUCCGACCUUUGAAUACCCCUCCACCCCGCAAUUUGCA
rnacentral:lncRNA from 1 species